CGCGCAGCUAACCGAGGGUUCCGGGUUUCUUUGGUCCACCGGUCCUCAAAGAUUAACUGGAUCUGCUUUGAGGCAAUGCCAGGUGUUCCACAGGUUCAGUACCAGCUCGGCCCUGAUUCUGUCAAGGGCUCUGACUGCAUAAGCCUGUCCCAGAUCGUUACAGCACGUCAAGUUCCCCAGCAGUGAGAACCACUGCGACCAAUCACUGCGCAGACACAGUUUUGAAGUGAUUAUUGGAGGAGCAAGAACAAGGUCUACUUUAAAUCUGGCUUUCGCUGCCCUUUGAAUUUCACAUGAAUUUGACCUUCCAGACCUAGUUCAUCUCACCUUUCAGUUGCCAGUAGCACAUAACCAGACUGGAAACUCUAUCAGCAUCAACAAAUGUACUGAUUAUCUAUCAUUUGUGGACAAAGCCUUGCUUAGGUUCUACAAAGAAGAAAAAUAAUCCGUGUCCUCAGAAAGCUUUACAAUCUAUUUGAAGAAAUAUAUUCAUAUUUACACCCACAGAGAGUUGCACUGCUACAUGAACUUAAGUUCAGCUUAAACUCUGUGAUGUUGCUGGGGGGGAGGGUAAGAGUGGAUAACCAAGCCAGUUGCUAUUUCAGUAUAAUAUGGCCAGAAGCAUCAGACUCUCAAACAAGUUGAACCUUUCUCCUUGCUUCCUCAGCAAGUAGGAGGGUAGUUUCCUCACCACUAUUCAACUUUCAAACUGUAAAGGCUAGGCUGAUGCAUUUUAAUCAUUCUGGAGUGGGUUCUUGGGGACGGGGGGUCUGUUCCAUCAUCCAGGCUCCUUCCAUCAAUUUCUCCCUUAAGUUUUGUCUCCCUUUGAUCCAUGUCAACUGUCAUCAUUAGCGUUUCCACAGGAACUCGUGAGAAGCAGAAGAGAUGAAAAACAUCAAAUUCACCUAAGAAUGCAUCCUUUUCUGAGACCUGCAAAUUCAAACACCAAUAUAGUGAACUAAAGCUGUCCUAGACUACUUAACACAGCAAGAACAGGUCUUGUACUGUUUCCAGUUUGUGAUUCUAUAAUCACUGAAACAUUUUUUACUGAUCUGUCAAUAGGAAAUUGCUAAUACUAAUGUUUCAAUAGUUUAAAUCAGAAUAUUAAUAUAUGUAAAAAUUAAUGUCCAGAGUAGUGAAUAAGAGUGCAGGCUCUAGGGCAAGACAAUCGUGGAUUUGAACCUUGAUUCUGCUGGUAGUGAUCUAAUCCCGGACAAGUUAGUUAGUCUCACCUGACCUUUUCUAUAAAAUGGAAAUAACAAUGCCUGGUUCCUGGAAUGUUUGGAUCAAUGUGAUGAUUAAAUGAGAUGUUAAGCAUUAAGCAUUUAGCAUAGUAUUUGAAACACAGUGAAUGUUCAGUAAAUAUUUGCUGUCUGCUUCUCCUACUUCUCCGAAUAAUUAAAGUUGGCCAAACCACAAAGCCUCAAUAUUUUGGGCAUGCAAAAGAUCGUACUGGGAGAACUGCAAAUCAGAUGGCUCUCAAGAGGUAAAUCAAAUUCUAAGUUGAAGCUGAAGUCAGAGUAGACCUUACAAGUUUUAUUAGUAAAACGCUGUUGGAGAGUGUUACAAACAGGACAACAGUCCCAAAAUAGAGUCACUUAUGUUAAGUCCCACAUCACCAAACUGAGGCUUACCUUAAUUACAGUUUUAGCUCUCCCAGAAAUGGAAUCUUAAACCAGUCCAUCAGGAAUUCCUUGAUUGCAUUAGUUAGAUAAUCUGCUUGAAGGACCCCUACCAUCCCCUAAAGGAAAGUAAGCUUGUAAUAAACAACACACUUUUUUUGCCUGGUAUAAAUUCCUUGUUCCCAUUCCUUUCUGGCUAUAAAAGUCUUACAUUUUGUACAGCAACUCAGAGCUCCUUUCUGACUGCUUGACUGAAUGCUGCCUGACUGGAAUCAAUUUUUGCUCAAAUAAACUUAACAGUUUUAAUAUGCUUCAGUUUAUCUUUUAACAAGAGGAAAAAUUGUUUUCUCUCUACCCAUCUUAGGUUUAUUGGCCCUGUAAAUUAGACUGACAAAAGACAAUUUAACAAGAGAAUAACAAACAGAUUAACAUGUGCAUUGCACAUACACCUGGGAGCGCUCAGUUAUGAGUAACUCAAAGGGGUGGUUAGAAUUUGCACUCGUAUAUCAUCUUAAUAAAAAAGCAAUGAAUUUUUAGAGAAGUAAUAAGACAAAGAAAAAGGAAUUUGAGUAUGUAGGGCAGCAAAUUAUGGUAAAGUAAACAUAUGAGGAAACUAAUGAAAAAUAAGGGCUAGAUAGUAAAGUUUAUUAGGUAGAUUCCUCUGGUGCCCUCUCCGGGCUAAGGAUCUAGAGUUCUUCUGUCCUUACUGGUGGUAGGGGGGAGGGAGGGGACACCUUUACAAAUUUAUGUCCUGCUUUUAGGCACACAGAGGAGGGCAGAGAACUUUUCUCAUAUCCUGGUUCUUCUUAAUUGCCUUCAGCUCAAAAUAAUCCUUAUGCUAAAGUGUCAUAUUUUGGGCGGGCAAAUUCUGCUACCAUUCAACACCCAACAUAAAACAAUGGGAAAGUGGAGGGGCAAGAGAGUUCCCUUAUAGGCAAAAGCCAUGAUUUUAUACUGUGACUCUCUACAAUAAGUAAUGUCAUUCUUUAUCAAAAGAAACACAAAUCCUCCAAAGAAAAGGACUCUUCUAAAGAAAUUUCUGCAUGGGAAAGAAGAGUCUCUUGUCUCUUUUCCAAUUGUAUUGUAUUUUCACUGUGUUCUUCAAAUCCCUCCUUUUGCUUCUAUUAUAUGUAACAGCUCUGCCUUUUAAAAUUUGGCCCUAAUAUGGCCACAACCCCCUUUCCUUAUAUGAUAUUUGUGAUAGAAUAAGAAAUAUAUAUUUGGGGGCGGCUGGAUGGCUCAGUUGGUUGG